rnacentral:rRNA from 1 species
UACGGAGGAUGCAAGCGUUAUCCGGAAUGAUUGGGCGUAAAGCGUCCGCAGGUGGCUGUGUAAGUCUGCUGUCAAAGAGCAAAGCUCAACUUUGUAAAGGCAGUGGAAACUACACGGCUAGAGUGCGUUCGGGGCAGAGGGAAUUCCAGGUGUAGCGGUGAAAUGCGUAGAUAUCUGGAGGAACACCGGUGGCGAAGGCGGCAUCCUGGACCGACACUGACGCUGAGGAGCGAAAGCCAGGGGAGCAAACGGG